rnacentral:rRNA from 1 species
AGCGGAGGGAUCAUUAAAGAACGCUCGUUCUCUACAAAACCUGUGAACUUCGGCUCCGGUUGCUUCGGCGGGCGGCCCCUGGGAGGGGCCGCAGCCCGCGAGGGCGCCCGCCGGGCCGCCAACUGUAUACACUAUUUAGCAAUCUUUGGCCCCUCUGAGACUUACCAAACGAGUCAAAACUUUCAACAACGGAUCUCUUGGUUCUGGCAUCGAUGAAGAACGCAGCGAAAUGCGAUACGUAAUGUGAAUUGCAGAGCCCAGUGAACCAUCGAAUCUUUGAACGCACAUUGCGCCCGCCGGCAUUCCGGCGGGCAUGCCUGUCCGAGCGUCAUUUCAACCCUCGAGCCCUGCUCGGUGCUGGGGCCCCGCGGCUGCCGCGGGCCCUGAAAAGAAGUGGCGGGCGCGCCUGGACCCGCAGCGCAGUAGUUACACCUCGCUCGCGGCGCCCCGGCGCGGCCCGGCCGUAAAACACCCAUUUUCCAAGGUGA